CCUGCUGGCUCAGUGGUAAGGAGCCUGCCUGCAAAGCAGGAGCUGCAGGUUCAAUCCCUGAUCAGGAGGA
rnacentral:tRNA from 1 species